GUGCUCACUUCGGCAGCACAUAUACUAAAGCUGGCAUGAUAUAGAGAAGAUUAGCAUAGCCAUUGUACAAGGAUGACACACAAAUUUGUGAAGCAUCACAUAUUUCA
rnacentral:snRNA from 1 species